UCAAAGCUAGGAUUCCUCUCCAUUGGUUUAGUAGGGAAGUGUUGAAAGUGAGGGGUCCUCCUGAGUUUCUAGUUCUGGUACACAUUUAAAUGUAUAUGUUUAUCCCAUCUAUGACUAUUGGUUAGCAUGUAGCUUCCUGUACCUUAAUUUCACUGGAGUGAAUAUUUAGCUAUUAAGUUUUGAUAAUGAUUACAUAAUGUAAUUCAAAUUUGCUUCAUUUCUUAUUCUGCCAUACUAUUUUUACAGAAAAUGUGCCCUAAGUGGUCAAACUAAAACGUGUAAACAUCGAAUAAAACUGGGAGAUUCCAGUAGCUAUUACUAUGUUUCGCCAUUUUGUAGAUACAGGAUUAUGUCUGUAUGCAACUUCUUCACUUAUAUUCGGUAUAUUCAGCAGGGUCUGGUUAAACAGCAAGAUGUUGAACAAAUGUUUUGGGAAGUGAUGCAUCUGAGGAAGGAAAUGUCACUAGCCAAACUGGGAUUUUACAAGGAGGAGCUCUGAAAUCCAGCUGUUGGAACAAAUGCAUGAGCUUUACUCCGUGAUCAACAAUGAUGUGGUUCCUAAGACUUAUUGUCCAAAUAUUUAUUUCUAUAGUGGGCCUACCAUCUCUGAUUUUGUUUUUUUAGCAGUUAUGCUUAAGUACAACAAAGGUAGUUAAUUUCAACAAAUGACAAUGGACUAGAAAAUAUUUUUUCUGUUAUUAGCAUUUAGUUUUGGGCAUUUGAAGGACUAGAGAGUAUUUGCGACUGUAUCAGUGGCAUUGCAUAGAAAGUAAAUCAUGUGUGAUGAAAGCAGCUGAAGCAAAUGUUGACCUCUUAUCUGUCCUGCAACACGGUUGCAAGAGAACUGAAUGCUUUGUGUAUUGGCUUUCUAUUUUCAUAAGGAAUAUUUUAAAAUAAUUUGGCAGGAUGUGUGGCUUUCAUUCGCUGCAAAACAAUCAAGCUUUCCGUAUUUUCAUUCAAUUUCAGUUAAUAAUGGUUGAGUUAUUGAUUUCACAUUGUGCACUUUAAAUACAGUGUAUAUUCUGAAUACAACACUUUGUAAUGCAAAUUUAAGACAAAUUAAGACAUGAAACUGACUAAUAUGAAAUGCAUUAAUGAUACUGUAACAAUCUUAAAAUGCACUAAAUGAAAAUAAAUAUGUUUGGUAAAUGUUAA